GGGGUACUCGAGUGGCGAACGGGUGAGUAACACGUGAGUAACCUGCCCUUGACUUCGGGAUAACUUCAGGAAACUGGGGCUAAUACCGGAUAGGAAUCCUUGCUGCAUGGUGGGGGUUGGAAAGCUUCGGCGGUUUUGGAUGGACUCGCGGCUUAUCAGCUUGUUGGUGGGGUAGUGGCUUACCAAGGCUUUGACGGGUAGCCGGCCUGAGAGGGCGACCGGCCACAUUGGGACUGAGAUACGGCCCAG
rnacentral:rRNA from 1 species